AGAAGUUACAUCCAUCGACACUUUAGUCUAAACCUAUCUGCACGAUCUCUACUUCUACUCUGCGACCGUCAAAUUGAAAAUGCAAUUCCUCCGGUAAAAGCUCAGUCACGGUCGUAGUUCCGUCACCGCUGAAUCAUCAUCAUCCAGGUUCUUACCUUGUGACGUCUCUCACCUUUGUCGAUCCAUCGAGAAUCUACUGUAAAAAAAAUCAGUUCCCGUUGAUGGAGAGAUCGUGAAGAAGGUUGGUCAAUCUGUUUCCUGUAAUCAAAAAAGUGAUUGGUCUUCUGAAGAACUAUGCUUUUGUGUGCGAGCACAACGAGUGUUUGGGAAUAGAUGGACUGAGAUACAAAGGUGGAUUCAGGCAGAAAGGAUAAGGCUGUGAACAGGUUUACGAGACUUCGUGUGAAGAGAGCCAAGCAUGAAACUAUGGCUAGCGA